AGCGGGGCUGCGCUCCUCACCGCUGCCCCCGCCCCCAAUAGCGGCCGCCGGCCGGCUGCAGCCCCCUUAAGAACGCCGGAACAUCCGUCAUAGUCGCGUCACAGUCCCGCCCUCCGCCCGACCUUGGUAAUGAGCCAGCGGUCCCGCCUCCUCAUGAAUAAUGCACGACCGCGAGGGAGGGGAUGCGCGCGUACCGCCCAACGCCGCGCACUGAAGGUGGGCGCUACCAUUUAAAGGGCGCGGGGAGAGGUGACGGCCUUUAAGCGACGCCCCGAAGAUCCGCUGGCCUUUUGCUGGCCUUCGACGACGCAGCCAUCCUGAAGCGGAAAACAACCGAAAUGGAACCAUUUUAUUGUGUUCGCGGCAGCUGGUGCGACCGGCUCUUCCUUCCGCGGAGGGAGGUGUGGGGUCUGAGCCGUGCUUUCUUUCACCGCCCCGUGCCGCACCGGCCGGCAGGCGGGGCGCCCCCGCCCCUCGUUUGCAUUGACGCAGGCGUGCGGGCCGCGCCGUGGCGGCACGAGUUGGGGGGGAAUGUCGAGGUUGGGCUGGGCCCGUGGCUGUGUGCUGUGUGCAACCCAUCCCCACCGUGCCCACUGACCGCCUCCCUCAGUGCCGCACCUCUACGUUUCUUGGGCACUGACUCUGCCAUCUCCCUGGGCAGCCUGUUGCAAGGCAUCACUGCUCUUUUUGAGAAGAAACUUUUCCUUACAUACAUUCUGAACCUCCUCUACAAAACCAGUUCCCUCAGCCGCUCCUCUCAAGACCUGUACUCCAGACCCUUUGCCAGCUCUGCUGCCCUUCUUUGGACAUGUUCUAGGACCUCUUUGAGUCAUGCAGCCCAUCUUCCACGCCCUCCACUGACCCAAGGAAAGCCCAGGCUAAGGCAGGCCUGAGGAUAGGCCUGCAUGUGGAUAGCCCUUGGUGGUAUUUCCUGGACAGGCAAUGCUAAACAUGGGUUUUUACCCUUUUUUAUGGUUCUGGAAGCAUGGCUUUUAGCAACAGUGUUGAACACAAGUAAGUAGUUCAGCAGCUAUAGGUGUAAUGCAGAUCUAGAUAUCCUUGAACAAAAUAAAGGACCUCUGCUUGUUGGCUGGAAAAGCUUUAACUCAGUGGUGACAGUGGUGCACAUCUGCAGAGUGAGUGAUAGCACACUUGAGAAGUGUCAGUGUAUGCCUGGCCUAUCCUACUUCUCCAUAGGCAUCCAUUAGUGGCCCCUGUCAGAAGCUGUGUGGCUACUUUCCAUUUGCCCAAUGGAUGUUUGGCCUGAACCAGUGCUUUAAUCAUUAAAUCUAUGUGUUUAUUAAAUGUGUAUAAACUGUAAGGGAAAAAUGUUUAGUUCCACGUGUCUACAGUCUUCUUUGGUGCGAUCGUGUUCCUGUAUAUAGGAGUGAGCCUGCAUGGGUGUGUAUAUUUAGAUAUUUAUGCCACUUUGCAGGCUUGCCAUGCAAAUACAUGUGCAGCGUAGAAGACUAAUUGCUACUUUUUUCUUAUAUUUCAGUUAAUAUUUCAGAAUUGUUCAUUAUAUUGGCAUCCAUUCUGUUUCAGGAGCUCUGCAGCCAUCUUACAAGUAGCAAAAAACAGGGUACAGAUCAAGGCCCUGUUGAUGAUUGCAUGCCGAGUGAAUGCUGCCAGCCGAGUGAUGGUUGCUCACUGAAUAGCGAGUUGCUUCAUGGCACAGUCCUCAUAAACAUGGCUUCAGAGAGCUGUAGAACUGGUAGGAUCCAGCUUCCCUUUGCCUUCGUGUCACAUGCCUGAUGUUUGGUUAUGUGCAAGCCUGAACAGAAGCUGUCCCGCACCUGGGGCAUUUGCUGGCAUCUAACAAUGGUGAAGUAGUGCUGCACUGUUCUCCCCGAUGGCCAGCUGCCUGUUGCUAGCAAGUAAGGCAGGAACUUCUUUGACUGUAGUGUUUGUCCCCUUGCUUGAGUCCCAAUUCUUGCUGUUGUGGAGUUCACAAGUUCUUUUAAAUCAGUUGGAAGACAAGAGCACUCACAUCCUCUGUGACAGCUUAUCUCUGCCAUGGUAGCUAUCUGCCCCAGUUAUACACACUUAUUAAAACAACUUUCAUAGAGGAAAUCUCUUCUAUUUUUAACUGUGUAUAAACUAAGCAUCCACUCUGAAUUAGUUGCCUAAUCUGCAAACAAGAGACAGGUGCUACCAAAGUGAUUCAUCUUUUCCUAAUACAGGUACAUUUAGAGAGAGAAACCUCAUCUCUCCUUGCUGAUUUUGAGGAAAGCUCAUGUCUGUAUCCUGUCCAGGAGCUCUUUGGUGCUCAUCGGUCUUGUGGUACAAAUAGGCUUCUUGACUCUGACACAAGCAAGAAUGGCCUAACUGAGUCAAACCACUCAUCCUUCCAGCUGUGCAUCUGGUUUCUCCUGCCUCUGAGAGCUAUGAGCUCUUAGCUCCUGUUUGCUGUGGCCAUAAAUUCUAGCUUCUUCAUCAAAUCAUUUCCUUUCAAGAAGUCAUGGGCCCAGUCCUUGGAGUUUUCUUUUUCCUCUCCACUUCUCAGUUUCUCCAUUUGGCCAUGUGGCCUUCACACUCCAGUGCAUUAUUUUUUAGUUCUUCCCUGUAACCCUGCUUUCCUUUUUCUUAGCUGCCCCUUUUUGGAGACCUUUUUUGGGCUGGGCAGUAGGAAAGACUGUCUGAAAACACAUGCCUAAAUGGAUGUGUAGGAAGCUUGACAUGCUUAGCCUCUUCUUUCAGCUACCUCAACUGUUUGCAGCUUGGAGGUCUGCUAGAUUUGCCUUUCCAGAACUUAGGUGAUAGUGGGAUGCUUGGGCUCUUCAUUCUGAUUUCAGAGCAGAACUCCUGUCCUGGAUGAGCUGAGGGAGCUAGAAGGAGUAAUGCAACUCCAGUAAGUGGCUGAGAGGAUACAGCAAACACCAGGAGGGGUGGGUAUCUGGCCAUGUGCAAUAUUACUGCAUGUAACACGUGCAUUGAACAAUGUGGCAAAACAAACUGUCGAACAGGUAAAACCAUAUAUACCUAAGUUAUGAUUCUGGCAGCCAUUAAUCAUCCUGCUUCUGUCUAUUCACUGUAACAAACAUGCCAGAUGUCCACUUCAUUUGGGAGGCCUGUGCGGAACUGAGGCUAACAGCUCUCCAGGGUUUGUCAGCGCAGUAAAGACAGUGGCCAUCUGAGUUCAUCUUGCUGUGUUCUGCAUCAUCCACUGUGCAUGAAAUUCUGCGUGCCAAGAUAAACAAGCAAUGCUAGAGAAGAGAAAGCAUAAAGACAAAUCACAAUGAGCUUUAUUAAGACAAAUCUGGUAAGCUGUAAGGAUUCCAAAGCACCUCUUCUGGCUGGAACUUAGGUGGCACGAAAGCACUCAUCUAGGCAGUACUUCUGAAUUGUACCCCUGAGUGGUUAUUGCCUCCUCUGGAAAUUGCUGUGCACAGCUUAAGUUCUUUCCUUUUCAUAAGACCAGGAGAAUAACACCUGCUAUUGGCCAGUGUUAGAGAGAUGGUACUAUUGUGUGAGACAGAAUUUUGGACCAUCAUUCUGUUUUUCUGCUUGAACAAAAAAAAACCUCUAAACUUUUAGUAGUUAUAAAAGCUGGAAGGGAUUGUGCUGAAAUGCUCUCUUCCUUGGAGUAGUCUGUGGGUUUAACUUCUUUAAAAAUGCAGGUUCUUGGUGUAGAAUCCGUACCUUUUUCUAAUCCGAUACCACGAAGGAUGUGUUAUAAUUGUGGGGAAUUUGUGAUCAGUCAUGAAAUGGAUAACAAUCAAACUAUGAUACGUAGACUUUUAUGUCUUUGCAGAGCUACUUCAGUGCUUCCUCAUUUUGUAAAUUACCACGAACACCAGAAUACUGGGAACCUAGCACAUAAAAAAGGAAAUAACUGUGCUUCCAGAAUCUGUUGUUCCCCUCCCAAUAGUUUUUUUGGAAGGUCCCAGUGGCUGUGAUUUUGAGUAUGGGCUGCAAAUAACAUGCUAAGCUAAAAAUUAUCUUUGCUUUCAUUCCAAUGCAAAAAGCUGCUUCUCUGGCUUCUUUUCUUUUCUUUUCUUUUCUUUUCUUUUCUUUUCUUUUCUUUUCUUUUCUUUUCUUUUCUUUUCUUUUCUUUUCUUUUCUUUUCUUUUCUUUUCUUUUCUUUUCUUUUCUUUUCUUUUCUUUUCUUUUCUUUUCUUUUCUUCUCUUCUCUUCUCUUCUCUUCUCUUCUCUUCUCUUCUCUUCUCUUCUCUUCUCUUCUCUUCUCUUCUCUUCUCUUUUCUUUUCUUUUUUUCCUUAUUGCAUGUUACAGUUAAAAGUAAGCAUAGCUACAGGUAGUUAGGACUAACUUCAAAAAGCCUUUUUGUUGUGGAGUGGCUCGGCACAGUGAGUAUCUGUGGCUGCUUGUAAUGCAACAAACUCUUCUUUCCAGAGCCCACAACAUUUAUAGGUCUUUCACCACUUACAGUGAUUUACUGCUCCAUUUGACCCAUCUUCCAAGGCUCUGCAGCUACAAGAAAACAUUUUUUUUCUCUUGGCAAUUUUACCUUCUCUCUUUUCCCAUCUUCUCUCUGGUUUGUUCCUGGGCACCUUUUACCAAGCUCUGUAUUUCGGUGGCUCUGCCUGUCCUGCCCUGUUCUCAGGGGCUCUGCUGGCAGGUCUGUCUCAAUGUCACCUGUAGUUGGGCUGUUGGGAGAAGCACUGUCUCCUGUCUGUGGUCUGUGGCAUGUGUCUGCUUCAUACAUCAGCCUAAGCUUUGAAAUGAGCCUGCAUAUGCAUUCCAGGAACAGCACAUUGUUCUAACUGGUAACAAAAAUACAUGACUAACGUGCUUCUGAUAGAGCCGCUUCCUCUUAACCUUAAAGUUGAUUUUUUGUUAAUGACUUCUUCCUCCCAUGGAAACGUGGAAAACAGUCUGGGACUGCAGGUUGUUAUUCAGUAAGAAAAACACAUGAUGAAGUUUGACAUUUCACAGGAAAAAGAUGUCUAAAGAUUUAUAUCAAUGGGUUUUAUUUACUGUUUUUCUGUUCUUGAUUUUUUUAAACCCCGAAAACAAAACUCAUGCAUUGCUAUAAAGGAGGUGGGCAAGUCUUUUUCAGCAGUGAGCAGUCUGUUGAGUCACAGUAACGUACGUUCUUUCCCCAUGCUUUUUUUCUUUAAAAGAAAGAAAUUGUUAAUCAUCUACAUGUAAAAAAUAUGGAAAAUAAACCAUUGUUUGAUCACCGUAUGUCAGAAUAAAAUUAAAAGCAGAGAGAAAACAUAACAUGAGGGCUUGACAUGGUUCGCUUUGUUCUGUUGUUCCCGUGCCCACGUGCCCAUGUUGUGUUCAUUUUUUAAAGCUAAAAAAUCAUAAAAUUCAUAGGAGAUGGGCAGCGUUUGUUCCUUAUUCAAAGUCCUUCUUCCACCACAAGGCCUCCACUGCCUGCUAAACUUGCAGGAUAUGGAUUCUGGUCACAGGAAUGCAAACCAGUGAUUUACUCUGCUUUUUCUUCUUUUUGCCUGGGGUUUAACCAGUACAUUAGACUAAUAUUUUCUUGCUUGCUAGUGGCAGUUUCUGUUUCUUUUUUUCUUUCUUUCUUUUUUUUUUUUUUUUUUGGUAGUGGAAGUCAUUAGAGUUUCUCCCAAGAGAAUCACUGCCAAAGUAAACAAACAUCUUCAUGAAAGGAAAAUAAUGUCUGAGGAGCAUUCAGAAUUCCAUGUUUUACAGAAGAGUAUUUAUGGCAACCAACUAGUGAAUUAAAGUGAAAGAAAUCCCAUUACUAGUUUGCUGCUUCUGCUGUGCUAAUCGAAAGUGGCAAUUUCUGCUCGCUUCUCUGCGCUACAGUGCAGGGUCUCAGUAUAAGCUGUAAUUUAAAAUGAAGGAAAUUAUGAGAUGAAACUCUUUUUAGAAGCAGUGUUAUGUUGGGUUUGCUUUUAUUUUUCUUAAUUGUUGGUAAUUGUAUAGAGCUUCUGCAUGUAAAACUCAGGGGAACUGCUAUUGUCUCCAAAAUGUUCUGCGUGUGGUUGGCAAGAACAACAAGCACAGAAGAAAGUUCAGCUAAAAAAUUCAUAAAAGCUGCCUGGUGGAAUGCAUUGCAAUCAGCUGUACACCUUGGUGCUCUUAUCCCUCUGAACUGAUCAUUUUUAGCUGAGAUGAAACAUUCUGAGGAGCAGGAGCCUGGCAGAUUUGCGGCGUAGAUUGUUUGAAGGUUUAAACACUGUGACUAUCUCAUCUUACUGCAAGUCUGUAGAUAGAACAUAAGCUCAAGUUGCUGAAAAGUGAUAGAAUGGCUCUGUGUGCACAGCCUACAAAACUGUGAAGGGCUUAUUUUCUGUGUGCUUUCUGCGUUCCCUCCAGGAGAGCAGUAAUUCCCCAGUGGAGCAAGCACACUUUGCAUUUGUUGAGGAUGAGACUGUCUCUAGUCCUUUGUUUGGGCAGCGGCUUUCACAAAGGGGACCAGUACUCACUGGGAACUUGCCAGCACCAUCAUAUGUUUCAUGACAAAUGCUAAGUGUUCAGAAAGUUGGCACUACAAAAUAGAGAUACUGUCAAUCUCUGUUUAAUUCUCAAAAUGGCUUGUAGGAUUUUAAAGCUUGUGUUGUUGCUGGUGCACUCACCCAUCAGAUAGCAUUUUUAACAGCCCUUCUAAUAUGGCCGGUUAAUUUGGUUAUAUUACUAGGAUGUAAAACAAAAUGAUUCCUAGGAUAGAGAUUGCUAGAUUGCUAAGAUUUUACUGCCGUUUUUUUCCUAUCUGCUGCGUGCUGAAGAACAGUGUGUCCAGCCACAUGUAUUGCUGUAGUCAGACCAUGGUAUUUUCUCAUCUUCUUUCCCAUGUACAGCUCAGACACAGCUGCCGCUAUUUACCAAACACAAAGGUGUUUUUCACAGCUCAGAGGGUAUGUUUGGGUUCUGCUGUAAGGAACGCGUGAUACAUCUCUAUUAAUUGCAUGAAUGUUCAGUGUAUGUUUAUGUACCUGGAUACUGUGGUGUUCUCUUUGGAAUUUUAGGGAGCGAGCUCAUAGAUCUUUGGAUACGUCUCCAGAGACAUGAUGAUUCCAGCGUCAGAAUAAUCUGCUCCAUAACGUGACCACAUUUAGGAGACCAGCUCCUGGGAGGAGACCCAAGGAGACAUCUUGAAAUUUCUGAGCAGAGAGGCUUUGGCACAGAGUUGGUGUACGCCGGAUGGCAUCCAGUUGGUAGCCUGCAUUGCUGGUGCAGCAGGAGGAAGCAAGCCUCUGACAAGAGCUAGAUAUGUCACCCUGCAGGACUGCACGGACAGCUUAAAUGGAGUGUAUGUUUGCACCUAAGCAGACUGUUAAGUAACAGAAGUGAGGUCAACAGCUCCAAGAGUGACUAUCGCAAUAUCCAGCAGCCAUAGCACUGACAUUGAGACUGGCUGGGCCAUGAGGUCAUGCUUCUGGGAGGAUGAAGAGGAAGGCCUGGAUGCACUGAGGAAGAGAGUUGAACUCAACUUUGCUAUACAGCAGAUGAAUAUUCACCCUGGUGUAUAUAUAUAUAUAAAUCUAUUUAUUUAAAAGCAAGUCUGAUGAAAGGAUGCGUUUUUCAUUGCUAUUUGUUGUAUGUAAGAGAAAUUGGCAUCUGCACAUAGAACACCGGACAGAUGUUUGCAAAGAGGUCUCAACAAGGAGUCCAAGAUCCUUCCUGGAGUGAUUAUUUAUAAUUUAUCACAGUGUUUGUGCAAUUAGGGUGUUUUUCCCCCCACGUGUAUUCCUGUGUGUCUAUCGAUAAUAAAUGAUGCGUGGUUUUAUGUUGCUGAAUCACUCAGCAUUCAGUAUGACGAUGCCUUUUGAAGUAUUGACUGUUCUAAGCGAUUUCCAUCAUCAGCAAACUUAGCUGCCUCGUUAUUAAUCCCCUCUUCCAGAUCGUUUGUGAAUGUAGUGAAGAGAACAAGUUCAAGUGCAGAUCCCUGAUCUCUUCUCUCCCAUGGUGAAAACAAUUUAUUACUACGCUUCAACAAAUCAUUAAUCUACUAAAGAAUUUCCAUCCUUAUGAUAACUCAGUUUCUUUAAGAGCUUUUAGAGAGAGAGAUGUUGUCAAAACACUUUGACUUCUGGAAAUCCAAGAGCAUUACAGCAAUCCGCAUUCACCACCAUGCUGACUGCUUUCAGGAACUGUACCAUCGUCCAUUUCAUCAGCCCACAGCAGGCUGUAAACCCUACAUUUGGUCAGGUUUCUUCUUCCGCAGAUGUGACGUUAUUUGUGUACUAAAAAUAGUGGCGAGCGCUUUCAUUACUUGUACAAAGGCUUCUAGCAGUUAGUGACAGUUUCUAAGUGAACUUAUUGCUAUGCUGCCAGAAACUCCAGAGCGAGGUACAGAUUUCCAUUGACCCCGAAUGCAGCAUGGUUUCUUUGUGAUAGAAGUCUUCUAUUUAUUUUCCAUAAAUGACAUAUCCCUGAAGCAACGGUGAGGGAAUGAAAGUUGCAUUUUAUCACUGUAACAUUUGCAGAAAAGUGAACUGCUAAACUCCCUAUUCAUAAUGAAACUUCGACUGGCCGCGAGUUCUUAAAAAGCUUACCUGCAGGUGCACAGCUUUUUUUUUUUCCCCCUUAAAAAUUUAUAUCUGAGCCUUAUGAACUUCUGAUUAAACUUUUAAAAUAAAUUAAGGGUGAGAGGAUUAGACAGGGAAUUGGAAAUGAACUGUGGUAUCUUUUGCCUCUAGCUCAGCAUUUUGAAGGCAGCCCAAAUGAGAUGUGACAAAGUGCAGUGCUCUCGUUUCUUUCUGCUGACCUACGUGCAAGUGGAGUUUGGUCUCUGCCAAGUUCUUUGUGUGAACAGCCACGUCACCGUCACUGCUAGUCUAAUUAGCAGUAAUUAGACCUUUGUUGGAAUUUAAAAUAAAUAGGCCAUGAUUUGGAUAUCACAGUGACUAAAUUAUCCACUUAGAUGAUCCCCUCUGUGGGUGAACAGCCUGCUGCUCCCAGCCCUCCCUUUUCCACAGAGUGACAGCAGUUACAAAGAUCUGAUUUAAAUGACGAAUACGCCCAGCUUGUGUUUUGCAGAAUGCCGUGUCCUGUUUGAAAUAGAAACUGUAAAAUCCUGCAGGACAGUCCCUGAGUGAGACUAAUAAAGCCACGUUUUAAUCCGUUAAGGGCUGUAGUAGCUAUUAUUUCCUUCCUGCCCUCGAUGGAGGUGUGAAGACUUUCAGAGGAAGCACCCACCAGCAGAUGUUCAGAGGUUCCUACUGCUUCAGCCCCUAUCUGAACUUCCUAUUGCUCCUUCUCAGGAGAAAUUAUUUCAUUAGCCUGGGUCAGCCCUUUCUGAACAUGUCUGUUUCUUACCUUAUUUCUGCUGCCUGUCAUGCUGUCCCGCUGCCAGAGAGUAUUUUCAGACCCGUAGGUCUGACUCCCUAGGCGUUUCUCCUGGACUUUGUACACCACUGGCUGUCCUAGGAGAGGAAAGGAAAGUGUGCAUUUCCAGUGGAGCACUGCAUGCAGCUUUUUUUCUGCACAUGUGCCCUCUAUGGAUUCUUGUUGGAUUUCCUGACCCUUUUCUGUUUGAUUGACUCUGAAAGCCCAGCUGAUUCUUCUGUUCUCCCCAAAGCACCUAUGGGAACUUCUGUAACUUGGUUGCCUCUAUCCGAAGUUUUUCUUUGCUUCUUUGAGAAAAGAGAAAGUCGUAGCACCUGAAAGUGUGCCAGUUUCCCAAUCACACUGGUUGCCAGUGAUUGGCUGGGUCAAUAGAGACUGGGGUGGGAAAGCCUGGUCCUGCUGCAGGUCAGAGCAGGGCACACUAGACUUCUGAUCAGAGUGUGGUGGCAUAGGAAUCCGUCAGUGCUCUUCUGGGGUGGUGGUCAUUGUCCUGACAGCCUCUGCAUUAUGAUAAUGGGAAAAAAAAAAGUUAAUGUUUGUUUCACUGAUGUAUUUCAGAAUGAAUUACUCUUGGCAUUAGAGAGUAAGAGCCGACUGCAUGCAAUGGACAACUGCACUGCUUUAAAAAUCCUGUGCAUUAUGCCAGCAGUGUAGGGGUCUCCAAUCUUCAAACACAGACACAUGGUUUCAGAGAACACAAACACUACGUGUUGAUCUGGAAGUAAAGAGAAGCAGUGUGAAUCUGCUUUUCCCAUAUUUUCAGCCAAUUGCUGGCUAUUUAAAAUCUUUAAUCUAAACAGAUAUUUGGAUUUAGUUUCUGAAGAGCAAAAGCUUGUCAGCUAUUUCAGUGAGGGCAACAACUUAAACUGUCAAUAUAUCAUUCCUGAAACAAGCAUAAUUUCAGCAAUCAAGUAGGAGAUAUUUCUUGUAGGUCCACAAUUCCUUGUAGAGAGAGUUCAUAUCAUAAUGAUGUGCUCUGUGGAGGUGACUCAUUUGCACAUUUUGGAGUUCAGACAAAGUCUCUGUGUUAGCUCUCUUUCCUCUCCUACCUUCCACGUGUUCUCCUGGAUUCAUAACAGAAUGAUUCUUUCUGUUACAUAAGACUGAAAUGGCUUCUCAUUUUCACUUUCUUUAUGCAUAAAGAGGCUUAUAAAUGUAUUGAGUUAUGGCUGAGGAAACUAGAAUACAUGCUACCUGAAAACCAUCAUAAAUUGUUCCAAAAUGAUCUUGAUUAAUUAAAAAAAAAUUGGUUUUGCUUUGUGCUAGUCCGACUAUUUUGACAGCUACUUGUGCUGUAGUGCACAAGUGGGGAUAUAAUCGCACAGGGCUGAAGAUGUCUAGUAAUGAAGUAGUGACACCCAGUUCUGUAUAUGCCAGCAUGGCUACGUGAAUGCAAUACACAAAGCCAGAUGUACCAUUUUAACUGCACAAGGAUAUAUUCAAGUAUGUUUAAAAUGGGCAGCGUGACAUUUAUGUGUAUGUGUGUAGGUCUCACUGAAAGUAGUGCCUCCUAUUUAUUUCCAUGGAAACAACAACAGAUACAAAGAGCUCAAUAACACUAUUUGAUAGAGCAAGCCCUCAGCAACAGAACACUGUUUUUCAACAUAGUCACCACCAUUAGCUGUGCAUUUUCACCAGGGAUGAAUAAGAGCCUGUGUGCCACACUCAUGAAAAUCUGUACCAGCAGAGAUGACCCACUGUUGCACAGCUGCUAUGAUGGCAUUGUUGCUAGGAAAAUGUUGCCCAUGCAGUCCGUCUUUCAUUGGCCCGGACAGAUGGAAGUCAGAAAGUACCAAACCCAGAUAGUAGGGGGGUGUGAUAGGACAGUCCAGCCAAGAUACAGUCCUGUACAGUACAGUACAGUAAGACCUUUGGUGACUGAAAUUGGAUCGUUUGCAUUUUAAGAGGUGGCUUAGAAUCCAUAAUUUCCAUUUGAAAUAUUUUCAGGUGUGCUUUUACCAUUAUCCUUACAAUUCCAUCUAUGUGCUUGUUUCAAGAAAAUUACAUGAUUUGUUGGUUUGAGACAAUUUUAACUUCAUAAUUAAUCUGUUUAACUUUUCUCCAGCUGUCACAGAUUUGCUGACCAGUAAAGAAGUCCUUCUAGAAAGCCGAAACACCUUGUUAUGAAACAGGCUGAUUUGGGUUGGAUUUUGAACAAAGCUGUGCUCUCUGCAUUAGUUUUAUUAAGUGAGAUAAAAGAAUUCUUACAGUAGUGUUAAAUUAAUACCUCAUUUCUGGAUGACAAUCAUGCUUAUGGCAAGACCAUUCCCAUCACUUGUGGUGCUUGAAAGCACUGUGAAAACUCCAAGAAACCAAGAUCUGGCUAUACAUCAUCAGGUAAUACCUCCAUGUUAAUGUGUGGAAGAAGAAAUGAGUUCACCUCUUUCGGAGUUAAGAAAGAUUAUGGUCAUAUCAAGAUUUAUGCUAGCUUCAUUUUAGAUGAUACUGAAGAUGAGUAUUUUUUGCAAUACAAGUUUGAAUGUAAGUGUUAGCAUAUUUUCACACUUUUUAGUUAUGAAACAGAAACUACUGAAUAUCAUGAGAAAUAAGAACCUCCUUCUCAGGGUACCGUGAGUUUCUUACCUAUUGCCACACCCUGCCUGCAAUAAACAGAUCUCUUAAUUGCAGCUAAACUGGAUUUCCUUAAAUAAACCCAACCAAAUUCUGUUUAUCAGCAAUGUUUCUACUUCAAUCAAACUCCUGAGGUGGAAAUUUCUCAAUACUCAGUCCUUGGGAGGAGCAGCUUCUAGGGAAAAGGUGGGAAUAAAAAUACUUCCACAAUUAUGUUCAGCACUGUUUGUCAUCAUCUCUUCUUAGUGUCCCGAGCAGAAGCACCAGUAGUCUUUUUGAGUAAAACAGACCCUUAGACUGAUUCUUCACCUCUCAGUAGUUACUUCUGGUAUAGCAGAACUGGAUUAUGACUGACAAGGUGGAGGUAGGAAGCUUUGCUGGGAUUUUGGCUUCCUUAAAUUUAGUUUUCCAGUACGCUGUCAAAAAGGUUUCCUGGGUUGCUUUGUACCAUUAUCUUCGUGCGGCAUUUAUGUGUAUAAUUCAGUAUUUACUUUAACUUUUAUUCCACAGCAAUUGCAUUCCUUUUUGUAACUAUUUUGUGAAUGAAGCAAGCCUAAGAAAUGUUCCUAUUUAUAGGUGGUGAUAGGCUUCACAGCCCUUUUGAUAAGUAAAGAACCAAACUGUUAAACUGACCAGUCUGGGUCAGUAUAAGGGAACACGUCAUUUUUAGUCCUACUUAUUUUUUGGAUAAAAACCUUUUUCAAGGGAAAAAUGUCAACAUAUAUCUGAAAUUAAGCCCUUCACAAUCCCUGCUCUGCCAUGUAAUUCAUAAAUUAAUGGAUCUAGAAAAGACCUUAAAAGGGUGUUAUCCGUCAGAAAUAAUACUUCUGUGUGUGCAGUGCCUAUCUCUCAUAAAAACUUGUGUUGGCCCUAUGUUGAAUUAGCCUGUCUGUGAGUGUCAAAUCCUUUUGGGAAAGGAUGAAAGAACCAUAAAAUAAGUUUAUGUUGCUCAGUGCCCAAAUGUUAUAAGUGGCUAACACAGUAAGAGAAAAGCAGUAAAUUUGAUCUUUUGCAACAUGUAUAUUUAACAGUUGUAAAAAUUACUUCUGAGUUUGUUGGUAUUACACUUUUGUUUUAGGUGCUGCCUGCCAUAUAUCUGAAUUACUUAGACCUCUGAGUAAAGCUAAUCUUUCUUCUUAGAUCCAAGCCUAUAACUUUUAAGGUGACAAGAAAUCCCCCACAGAAAUCACAGAAAAACAGAAUAAAGCAAAUGCUUGCUAUUCAAAAGAGGUUUGCCAUCACGGUAUCUGAAAAUAUUAUUAUAAAGGUAAUAAGCAAAGCAUGACUACUCAUCUGUCUUAUUUUGGUUUUUAUCCAUUUUACGGAAAAAGAAAUGUGCAUAUUAGAAUAUUAUGUUUGUUUUGAUGAAAUUUUAUCCAGUAACAUAUGUUGUGCUAUGCAAAUGUAUCUAUAAAUGAAGAAAUAUGCUUUGCAUUUGGAAUAAAAGGGUGUCAAGCACUUUCUAAUUUUUAUGAGGUCCUCGGGAAAGCCCUAAAUCUUUUCUCCCCACAGUGAGUUGUAAUCUUACUGUGUAGCAUUCAUUGUGUAAUUGUUGACCAUGGUCUUUUCUCUGGCAAUUUACUGAUCUUAGUCCCAGGACAUGAAAUGCCUUGCAGAGCAAGACUUAGCACAUUCAUCGUUCUGUGGGAAGAUGCUGGAGAAAUUGUAAAGCCAGUGGGUUGCAUUUGCGAUAGCUUCUGUUGUGGAGGAGGGGAUCUGCUGUCUCUGUGGCAAACUGGAACCACCACAGUGCUACAGAUCUGUAUCUCAGGAUGUGUCAUCCAGCCAAGGCCAAUGGAAGAGGCUCGAGUAACUGAGGUAUGCUGGCCUGGCAAGGUGUCUUGGGUCCAGCUGGCAUCAAGAGAGAGCACUGUGCAUGAAUGUUGCCUUGUGAGUGUUUUAUAGCCUUGAGGAAUCCAGGGGUAUUCCUGGAGUGUGGACUGAGUUGGUAAACAAGAGUCUUAUCUGGGUGAAGGGAUCUGCACGCUCGAUGCUAAACUCAAUGCUUUUCCCACUGACACUGCUAUUGGCUUUUUUUGACUGUUUAUCCUUAAUCUAAUGUAGAGAUUGCACAAACUGGAAAAAAAAAAUAGUGUGCUCUGUUUUAAUAGGACAGAAAUUUGAAUUCUAAACGAAGGCUUUGAAAACAUGAACUUGUGACACUGAACCGAUUCUGUAUGGCCUUUGUGUCCUCGCUGAGUUAUUUGCAGAAUUAGUUUUGGACAAUCUUUUUUCUUCCUUUUGGGCAGCACAUAUACAGCACUAUGGGGCUGCAAUAUUUCUAUCCUCUUAUCCUUGUGCAAAUAGGGUCAAAAUCAGGGAAGGGAACCCAGUUGGCACUGAUUUCAUUAUGCUGGCACAGCCCUCGUUCCCUGCCCAUCUCAAGUACAUCUGAUGUGAAUUGGCACCUCGGCUAAACUCUAGGCAGCGCUGUGUGUGUCAGGAUACUUUGGACCUCAUUGCUGGUUAAGGUGUUACUGCCUACUACUACC
rnacentral:lncRNA from 1 species